GCACUUGUAGUUUAUUAGUCAGAGUAUUGGUGCGUAAAGUCAAAGGUCUCGGGUUCGAUUCCCGGCAAGGGUG
rnacentral:tRNA from 1 species